rnacentral:rRNA from 1 species
GAGCACGUAGGUGUGUUUGUAAGUCAGAUGUGAAAGCCUUCUGUUCAACGUGAGAAUUGCAUCUGAAACUGCUAAUCUUGAGUAUAGGAGGGGAGAAUGGAACUUCUGGUGGAGCGGUGAAAUGCGUAGAUAUCAGGAGGAACGCCGGCGGCGAAAGCGAUUCUCUGGCCUAUUACUGACACUCAUGUGUGCGAAAGCUAGGUGAGCAAACGGGAUAGAUACCCCUGAUGCAGCUAU